GUCCACAGUUAAACUUCGAUUCCCAAUCCGCAAGACAAUUUACGCGUUGUGUAUAUGUGAGUCUUAUUCAAAUUUGGAUGGUCCAUCAAAUAGUCUGUCAAUGGCUGUCCACCAAAUAGCUUGUUCUCCAGAUAACUCGCAGCAAUGUUGUCCGUCAAAUGUGCAAGUUGUUGUAUGGUUGGCCAUGUCGCAACAAAAACAACAAAGCAAAGUUUUCUUUUUUAAAGUUCUGGUGUAGAUUAUGUAUAGUUGUAAUAUAUCCAGUUGAGACUUUCUUAUACUUAGAGAAAAUAUUGUUGUAGUAGUAGUAGUAGAGUUAGCUGAAGCAAUAUAGAGAAGGAUGAAACCACGAAGGAGAUAAACGUUGGGGAAUCAGUGCUUGACAUGGACCCUAAAUCCACUGUUGGUGACAGUGUCGAAGAUGUUUACCCCGAGGAUUUUGGCACUGAAGACCACCUCGUCACCCUUUGGACUUACUCUGUAGCCAGAAAAGAAAUAAAAGACUAUUUUACUAGCUUUUAAUUGACAAUGUUGAGGAGCUUAUCCCAGUUGUUUACACUCCAACUGUGGGUGAAGCUUGCCAGAAGUAUGGAAGCAUCUUCAGGCGUCCUCAAGGGAAAAGUUCUUGAUGUCUUGAAGAACUGGCCUGAAAGGAGUAUUCAAGUUAUUGUUGUGAUUGCUGGUGAGCGUAUUUUGGGGCUUGCGGAUCUUGGUUGUUAGUGACCAUUGAUGUGGGGACAAAUAAUGAGGUAUUGAAGGUUGAGUUCUACAUUGGGCUUAGACAAAGAAGGGCAAUUGGGAAUAUGCCAACUUGCUACACGAGUUCAUGACCGCUGUCAAGAAGAACUAUGGUGAAAAAGUUCUUAUAUAGGUCUUCAUGCUGAGAGUUCAUUAUUUUAUUCGAUUCACAUUUAAUUUGCAUUUUCCACCCAUCUCUAAUUAGGGAUACAUCCAUGAUUUUAUUUCAAGAGGGGCGAAAUUUUUAAAUUCAAAA